AUUGAACGCUGGCGGCAUGCCUUACACAUGCAAGUCGAACGGCAGCACGGGAGCAAUCCUGGUGGCGAGUGGCGAACGGGUGAGUAAAGUAUCGGAACGUGCCCAGUCGUGGGGGAUAACGUAGCGAAAGUUACGCUAAUACCGCAUACGAUCUAUGGAUGAAAGCGGGGGAUCGCAAGACCUCGCGCGAUUGGAGCGGCCGAUAUCAGAUUAGGUAGUUGGUGGGGUAAAGGCUCACCAAGCCGACGAUCUGUAGCUGGUCUGAGAGGACGACCAGCCACACUGGGACUGAGACACGGCCGAGGAUCCUACGGGAGGAAGCAGUGGGGAAGUUUGGACAAUGGGCGAAAGCCUGAUCCAGCCAUGCCGAGUGCAGGAUGAAUGCCUUCGGGUUGUAAACUGCUUUUGUACGGAACGAAAAGGUUUGGCCUAAUAAGCUGAGCUCAUGACGGUACCGUAAGAAUAAGCACCGGCUAACUACGUGCCAGCCGCCGCCGUAA
rnacentral:rRNA from 1 species